CGCACGGGUGCGUAACGCGUGGGAAUCUGCCCUUGGGUACGGAAUAACUCAGAGAAAUUUGUGCUAAUACCGUAUAAUGUCUUCGGACCAAAGAUUUAUCGCCCAAGGAUNNNNCCGCGCAAGAUUAGCUAGUUGGUGGGGUAAAAGCCUACCAAGGCGACGAUCUUUAGCUGGUCUGAGAGGAUGAUCAGCCACACUGGGACUGAGACACGGCCCAGACUCCUACGGGAGGCAGCAGUGGGGAAUAUUGGACAAUGGGCGAAAGCCUGAUCCAGCAAUGCCGCGUGAGUGAUGAAGGCCUUAGGGUUGUAAAGCUCUUUUACCCGGGAUGAUAAUGACAGUACCGGGAGAAUAAGCUCCGGCUAACUCCGUGCCAGCAGCCGCGGUAAUAUGGAGGGAGCUAGCGUUGUUCGGAAUUACUGGGCGUAAAGCGCGCGUAGGCGGUUUUUUAAGUCAGAGGUGAAAGCCCAGUGCUCAACACUGGAACUGCCUUUGAAACUGGAAAACUUGAAUCUUGGAGAGGUCAGUGGAAUUCCGAGUGUAGAGGUGAAAUUCGUAGANAUUCGGAAGAACACCAGUGGCGAAGGCGACUGACUGGACAAGUAUUGACGCUGAGGUGCGAAAGCGUGGGG
rnacentral:rRNA from 1 species